rnacentral:rRNA from 1 species
AUUGAACGCUGGCGGCAUGCCUAACACAUGCAAGUCGAGCGGCAGCACAGUGUGUAGCAAUACACAUGGGUGGCGAGCGGCGGACGGGUGAGCAAUACAUAGGAAUCUGCCCUAGAGUGGGGGAUAGCCCGGGGAAACCCGGAUUAAUACCGCAUGAUCUCUACGGAGCAAAGCGGGGGACCGUAAGGCCUCGCGCUCUGGGAUGAGCCUAUGUCCGAUUAGCUAGUUGGCGGGGUAAAGGCCCACCAAGGCGACGAUCGGUAGCUGGUCUGAGAGGACGACCAGCCACACCGGAACUGAGACACGGUCCGGACUCCUACGGGAGGCAGCAGUGGGGAAUUUUGGGACAAUGGGGGAAACCCGUGAUCCAGCGAUGCCGCGUGUGUGAAGAAGGCCUCGGGUUGUAAAGCACUUUAAGCAGGGAAGAACCAGCCUGACCUAACACGUCCGGCCCUGACGGUACCUGCAGAAUAAGCACCGGCUAACUCUGUGCCAGCAGCCGCGGUAAUACAGAGGGUGCAAGCGUUAAUCGGAUUACUGGGCGUAAAGCGUGCGUAGGUGGUUCAGUAUGUCGGUCGUGAAA